rfam:Burkholderia sp. STM 7183 genome assembly, contig: CYGY01000042
GUCUUCGAGGAGCGUUGCGACGGGUUCCGCCCGCCAGGCUCGAAGGCUUUCAAUCGGAAGGAUUGGACGCGCGCCGCGCUUACAAACCAACCGCAUCGAACGGCGCUCACGUCAC